GAGAGGGCGGUGUUUCUGUAGCAGCUGUGGCAGCGGUGAUAGGACCACAGUUGCGCCAUUCAUAGUCUGGACUCCCUCCCUCCCUCGCUGGAGCUCCGCCCCCGACUCGCGUAGCCUCUGUAGCUAGCGGCUACUGGGCCUGGGAGGAAGCUCUAGUCCUUUUUCUUACCCAGUCCUGGGACGGUUCUUCAGCGUUCCGGACAACCGCGCUGUUGCCGCUGCCCCUUCCUGCGAACCAGGGCCUCGGGGAAAUGUGCCUCCUGCUUCACUUGAGAGAGAGUUCUGAACUGAAGAUAGGUGCUUAUGUAGAGGGUGGACACCAGAAGAGGAAUUCAAAAGACAGGUAGCUGAGCAAUGACCCGAAGAAGGACAUUUCCAUCCUUGGAGACAAACCUUGUGUAAAAAUGGAGACUUGAAUCCAGGACUUUAAUCCCCAGAAGUCCUUGCUCCACUUCCCCAGAAUGCUUUGUAAUCUCCUUGUAACCUCACCUGGGCGGAGAGCAACUUGGCUCUCCACCUAGCAAGCAAGAUGUGAGUGAUCGUGAAUAGGCUCUCUGGGCCUAGACACAUGCCUUUCUUACUUGUGUUUUCUUUAUAUUUUAACCUUUAAUAAACCUCUAAAAAUAUAAUACUCCUUGCA
rnacentral:lncRNA from 1 species